AAUUAAUUUUAAAAAACGUUGACAUUAAGUAAAUGUUUAUGAUAUGCUGAUUGGGUAGGAGUCAUAAAUAUUAUUAUCGCGGGAUGGAGCAGUUCGG
rnacentral:ncRNA from 23 species